rnacentral:rRNA from 1 species
AUUGAACGCUGGCGGCAGGCCUAACACAUGCAAGUCGAACGGUAACAGGGAUCAGCUUGCUGAUUCGCUGACGAGUGGCGGACGGGUGAGUAAUGUCUGGGAAACUGCCUGAUGGAGGGGGAUAACUACUGGAAACGGUAGCUAAUACCGCAUAACGUCGCAAGACCAAAGAAGGGGACCUUCGGGCCUCUUGCCAUCGGAUGUGCCCAGAUGGGAUUAGCUAGUAGGUGGGGUAACGGCUCACCUAGGCGACGAUCCCUAGCUGGUCUGAGAGGAUGACCAGCCACACUGGAACUGAGACACGGUCCAGGCUCCUACGGGAGGCAGCAGUGGGGAAUAUUGCACAAUGGGCGCAAGCCUGAUGCAGCCAUGCCGCGUGUAUGAAGAAGGCCUUCGGGUUGUAAAGUACUUUCAGCGGGGAGGAAGGGAGUAAAGUUAAUACCUUUGCUCAUUGACGUUACCCGCAGAAGAAGCACCGGCUAACUCCGUG